rnacentral:lncRNA from 1 species
AGACACUAUGUACGGGAGCUCACACCCUCGGAUUAAACCCGAAGGGACACCUGGGAAGUGGGCUGAGUGCUGUGUGACAGCUGAGCACCAUGAGAGCGAGAGACGCUUGCUGUGAAGCAAACAAUAUUCCCAGUUCUCAGACCAGAGAUGCCGCCUUCCAACCCAGGAGUUCCCGAUCAAAGCAUAUGGUGCUGUUGACAUCGGAGAGCUUGCUGGGCCACAUGCCAUGCACCUCCA